UACGGAGGGAGCUAGCGUUGUUCGGAAUUACUGGGCGUAAAGCGCGCGUAGGCGGCUUUGUAAGUUAGAGGUGAAAGCCCGGGGCUCAACCCCGGAAUUGCCUUUAAGACUGCAUCGCUUGAAUCCGGGAGAGGUGAGUGGAAUUCCGAGUGUAGAGGUGAAAUUCGUAGAUAUUGGGAGGAACACCGGUGGCGAAGGCGGCUCCCUGGUCCGAUACUGACGCUCAUGUGCGAAAGCGUGGGGAGCAAACAGG
rnacentral:rRNA from 1 species